GAGUUUGAUCCUGGCUCAGAACGAACGCUGGCGGCAUGCCUAACACAUGCAAGUCGAACGGGAUCCGGACUUCGGUUCGGUGAGAGUGGCGGACGGGUGAGUAACGCGUGGGAACCUGCCCAGUGGUGGGGGAUAACUGCGGGAAACUGCAGCUAAUACCGCAUGAGCCCGAGAGGGGAAAGAUUUAUCGCCAUUGGAGGGGCCCGCGUUCGAUUAGGUAGUUGGUGGGGUAAUGGCCUACCAAGCCGACGAUCGAUAGCUGGUCUGAGAGGAUGAUCAGCCACACUGGGACUGAGAUACGGCCCAGACUCCUACGGGAGGCAGCAGUGGGGAAUAUUGGACAAUGGGGGCAACCCUGAUCCAGCAAUGCCGCGUGAGUGA
rnacentral:rRNA from 1 species